rnacentral:tRNA from 1 species
GCCGGGGUAGCUUAAUGGUAAAGCAGCGCUUUUGUAAAGCGAAGAUUGUGGAGGUUCGAAUCCUCUCCCCGGCU